AUUGAACGCUGGCGGCAGGCCUAACACAUGCAAGUCGAGCGGAUGAAGGGAGCUUGCUCCUGGAUUCAGCGGCGGACGGGUGAGUAAUGCCUAGGAAUCUGCCUGGUCGUGGGGGAUAACGUCCGGAAACGGGCGCUAAUACCGCAUACGUCCUGAGUGAGAACGUGGGGGAUCUUCGGACCUCACGCUAUCAGAUGAGCCUAGGUCGGAUUAGCUAGUUGGUGGGGUAAAGGCCUACCAAGGCGACGAUCCGUAACUGGUCUGAGAGGAUGAUCAGUCACACUGGAACUGAGACACGGUCCAGACUCCUACGGGAGGCAGCAGUGGGGAAUAUUGGACAAUGGGCGAAAGCCUGAUCCAGCCAUGCCGCGUGUGUGAAGAAGGUCUUCGGAUUGUAAAGCACUUUAAGUUGGGAGGAAGGGCAGUAAGUUAAUACCUUGCUGUUUUGACGUUACCAACAGAAUAAGCACCGGCUAACUUCGUG
rnacentral:rRNA from 1 species